GUAUUUUAAUCUAUGUUCUGUGAAUGACAAGUGUUAUCUGUCAAGUGUCAAAAAACUUGAAAAACUUUUACGAAGUUUGAUUUUUGUUAAAUUUGUUUAUAAACACAAUGCCAAAGGCAAGAAUAAUUGCCCACGCCAGAUGGAGACCCAGCUAAAUAAUGUAGUAACAGCGCGUGGUCGUGUGAUGAGGGUUCCUUGACUUGAGUUCUGGCGCAACACGUCCUGGGCACUAAACAAGAUUGGGGAUGGGACGUCUAAAGAGGUGCAAGCCUGGAAAACGCUCUCGUCUUGCUCUACAGCACUUGCACUUGUCCCACCAUCUACCAGUGUUGGAACUCUUCCAAUAAUUUCCCACACCCAGGUGGAGAAUACUCCAGUUACUGCUACUACUACUCUAAAAUAUCUCUCAUCUUGUUCUACAGCGCCUGCACCUGUCUUACCAUCUACCAGUGUUGGAACUCUUCGAAGUGUAUUAAUGAUUAUUAUUUUAGUAACCAUAAAAGUUUAAAACAAUACAUUUUAUUGCAUAAUUAUUUGUUAGCAAAAACGACAAGUACAAAUGAGUAGGGAGGCUGUUGAUUUUUCAUGGUUAUUUUAUAUCUUGUUGAUUGUUCCAAAAAAAAACUAAGUUUUCAAGAAUGCUGUGAUUAAAGUACCUAUAGUAUUAUAUUUAAAAUGAAAACUUAGUUUGUAAAGAGACGAAGGCUGACCACAAAAGAAGUACUUAUAGCUGUCUGUGUCUGUGUAAAGAAUUUAAAUAAAAAGAUGUGUAUAUUUAAA